ensembl:lncRNA
ACUUCCUGUCCAGCACUUCCUCCUAUGCACUUCCUGUCCAGCACUUCCUCCUAUGCACUUCCUGUCCAGCACUUCCUCUUAUGAACUUCCUGUCCAGCACUUCCUCUUAUGAACUUCCUCUUCCCCACACUUCCUCCUUUGGCCCUUUCUCCUCCCCACAGUUCCUCCCCCCGCACUUCCCCUCCAGCACUUCCUCCUAUGCACUUGCUUUCCUGGCACUUCCUCCUCCCUGCCUUCCUCCUUCCCACAUGGCCAGGGAGCCCAGACCCAGGGGCUGCCCUUCACAGCCCUCUGUCAGGUCCUCUUCCCCCACCCAGGAAGGCAGUCUCUUCUCUAAGCGGCCACUUUUCACAAGCAGUGUUCCUCUCAUUCUCCUCAGGGACCCCCCAGCACAAUCUAUUUUUGAGGUUCUAGGACUUUGCAAAAGAGUGAGAAGGCCUUUGGAUACCAGCUUUGGCUCUCUGCCCAUCUAAGCAUGGAAGCCCUCAUGGAAAGGGGUUGCCAGGCCUGACUGCCAGCGUGGGACAGGUGUCAUGUCAAAUUCCCACCACACAGGUAGAUCACAACAGUGCUAUUUGGAACUUACGGGACCUACGAAUCUCUAGAGGGUCUCAGAAGGCAGCUCUGAAGGACACUCCUUUGGAAGCAACUUGAAAUCAGGGAUCUUUCCUUGAGAUGACACAACAAUGAGGAUGAUAAAGGAUGAUGAUGAUGAAGAUACUUUUGGAGGAAACUGAUGAAGGGACACAACCAAAGCGAAUUGUUAGUGGAUAUAGGACCGAGACUCAGG